UCGAUGUUUUUUAAAACAGCGAUGUAUCGAUGCUUUUUUUCGAACAUCGAUGUUAUCACUAAGAGAUACACACGCAAAGCAAGUGUUUGAUACAGGUAAAACAUAUUAGGGCGGUUCCUCUCGGCACAAUGGACAGGUUUCUGCACAUAACAAACCACGUGUCUGCUGCUUCGUCGUCUGCUCCAACGUCUGCUGCUUCGUCGUCUGCUCCAACGUCUGCUCCAACGUCUGCUGCUUCGUCGUCUGCUCCAACGUCUGCUGCUUCGUCGUCUGCUCCAACAUGUGCUGCUUCGUCGUCUACUCCAACGUCUGCUGCUUCGUGGUCUGCUCCUUCUACGUCUGCUGCUUCUACGUCUGCUCCUUCUACGUCUGCUGCUUCGUUGUCUGCUUCUUCUACGUCUGCUGCUUGGUCCUCUGCUGCUUCGUCCUCAGCUCCUGCGUGUGCUGCUAUUUUGGAAAAUGAUGAUUUGGAAUUUGGCUUUGAGCCCCCAGAUUGUAGAAAACGCAAGAAAACCGGAUCAGAUGUAUGGAAAUAUUUUGAGAGGUGCAAGAACAAAAUGUUUGCCAAAUGUCGGUUUUGCGGAAAGGAGUAUAAAACUUCCGGCAAUACAACAAAUUUAUCCGAUCAUCUAAGGCGCCUUCAUCCAUUGAAAGUAUCAGUAAGUACAGAAAACGCAAUGAAAAUGGACAAUUUUGUUUUACGAUCUGAUGCGUACGACCCAAAAUCAUCCAGAAAGAUUGAACUUGAUAAAUGUCUCGCUAAAAUGGUGUCGUCAGAUAUUCAGCCGUUCAGCAUAGUAGACGACAAUGGGUUUAAAAAUUUUAUAAAAUUACUCGAUCCAAAGUACAUUUUGCCCAGCCGUACUACAUUGCAGAAUGUGGUCACAAAAAAUCUUUAUGAAGAAGCGCUAUCCAAAUUAAAGGGUAAGCUGAGUACGGUCCAAUAUUGCUCAUUAACAACGGAUUGUUGGACGUCUCGUUCAAACGCCAGUUACCUAACGUUGACGUGCCACUUUAUUGAAAAUUUCGAGCUAAAAACGGUUGUUCUAGCCACACAGCCGUUAUUAGACCAAACCAAUCACUGCAGUGACAAUAUUGCAGGAACUAUAAAAGCAAUUUGCAUGGACUUUGACAUUUUUAAUAAAGUGGUAACUAUUGUAACGGACAACGCAGCUUCUAUGAAAAAGGCCUGUGAGAAUUUGCAAAAAAAGCACCUGGGUUGUUUUGCCCAUUCAUUAAAUUUAAUUGUUCAAAGCACGCUUGCCCUAAAUGAUGUGCAAGAUGUUUUAAAAAGCGUUAAGAGCAUUGUCACUUAUUUUAAAAGCAGUGCGAUUGCGUAUGCCAAACUAAGAGCUGCACAAGGCGUUGAAAAGCCGUUAAACCUAAUACAGGAAGUGCCUACUCGUUGGAAUAGUGCAUUCUAUAUGCUAAAGAGAAUUUUACUCGUUCGAGAGGCAGUUUGCGGAGUUUUACUAAAAUCUUUGAAGGCGCCACUACCGUUAAGUGAGGAACAAUUUUCUAUCAUUCAAGACAUCUGCACCGUUUUAGAGCCAUUUGAAACGGCAACAGUGAAUACGUCAGCUGCCAAAAAAGUAACGGUAUCCUUAAUAAUACCCACAGUGCAGGGCCUUUUAAUUCAAAUGGAUACGCUUAAGCCGCAAAUGAAGACGAGUGUAGGGGCUGACACUUGCUUGUUUUUAACAAAUCAGUUGAGAAGCAGACUUUACCCCUAUGAAUCUAGAACUGCUACGAGGAUGACAACGAUUCUCGAUCCAAGAUUUAAAAAGGAAGGAUUUUACAAUCCGAUGAAUGCAGAACAAGCAGUAGCAGCGUUGGAAAAUGACUUGACUUUCGUCUUCAAAGAUGUGCAGAACCAAUGUCCAAAUGAGGAACCGGCCGAACUUGGAGAUCCGAUGCAAUAAUCGAAAUGCGGCAAUAUUUCGAGCAACAGAAUGCGCAUCAGAAAAUAGAUCCGCUCGAAUACUGGAGGGUUAAUGAAGUUCAAUUCAGCAAUCUUGCGCAGUGCGCGUUAAAAUAUUUAUGUAUACCUGCGACAUCUACUGACUCGGAAAGGACUUUCAGCAAGGCAGGACAAAUCGCGGACGAAAAGAGAUCUCGACUUAAACCUAAAACUUUGAACAUGCUGUUGUUUUUACAGAAAAACCAGUGGAUUAUUAGUUAAGAUAUAGAUAUCGAUUAGAUAAGUAAGAUAAGUAAGAACUGAACUGAACUGAACUGAACUGAACUGAAGUGAACUGAACUGAAAUAAUGUGAUUCCAUUUUUCUUUAUGAUUUCGUUAAAAUAUGUAUUAAGAUUAUGCUUUUUUAUUUGUUUCUGAAAAU